CGGCCCCCUGAGGGGACGGCGGCCGCCAUGUCGGAGCGGCUGGGCAAGCCGAGCUGCCUCAUCGUCGCCAGCGCUGCGGCCGCGGGUGUGUCAGCCCAGUCCUUCCUUCACUGCUUUACAUUGACGAGUUCUGCUUUUAAUCUGCAAGUUGCCACUCCUGGGGGAAAGCCAAUCGAUUUUGUGGAUGUGAACGAGACCAACAUGCGCUGGGUCCAGGACUUCCGUAUGAAAUCCUAUGCUAGCCCUGCCAAGCUGGAGUCCAUUGAUGGUGCUAGGUACCAUGCAUUGCUGAUUCCAAACUGUCCCGGGGCUAUGACUGACCUUGCAAACAGUGGGUACCUGGCGAAGAUACUGCAGCACUUCAGCACUGAGAACAAGCCCAUCUGUGCAGUUGGACAUGGAGUCGCAGCCUUGUGUUGUGCCACCAAUGAGGAUAAAUCCUGGGUGUUUCAAGGAUACAGCCUGACAGGGCCCUCUGUGUAUGAACUAGUCCGACAGCCCAAUUUUGCCAGUUUGUCCAUUAUUGUGGAAGACUUUGUGAAAGAUUCUGGAGCUACAUUCAGUGGUAUGGCACUCUCCUCUUGUCCAGGAUUACCUGUUUCAUGGCUGCGUUUGGGGAAUGAAUGUUUGUGUGCUGGUUUAACACAAGACUCUGACAGGACAUCUCAUCUUGCAUUCCCAUUUCAUGAUAGGAACAAAUAACCUCGUGGAUUAGAAAUGGUGAGUUGGACCUGCUUGAGAAAGCCAUGAGGAGGGCCACCAAGAUGCUGCGAGGGCUGGAGCAGCUCUGCCCUGGAGCCAGGCUGUGAGAGCUGAGCUGGUUCAGCCUGGAGAAGAGAAGGCUCCUGAAGGGGAGAGCUGAGAGCAGCUCCAGUGCCUAAAGGGGCUGCAGGAAAGCUGGAGAGGGGCUUGGGACAAGGGAUGUAGGGACAGGCCAAGGGGAAUGGCUUGAACCUGCCAGAGGGGAGACUGAGAUGAGCUCAUAGGAAGGAACCUUUGCUUUGAUGGUUUUAUCAUGGAAAAUCUGAUCUAUGCACUUUAUCCACCUGAUGUUAAUUGUAUCAAGGGACCAGUCCCGCUGUCCUUCCAUAGAAAGUCUUCCUGGUGAAAUCAUUUCAGCAUUUGGGCUUUAAGAUUGUCCCUGCCUGGGGUUAUAGAUCAGCAUGUCUGUCACCCAGCAAAUCUGGUCAAAAUAGUCCUCUUUUGUGUAAAUUCCAUGAGAGAUGUGAUACUGACACUGAAGUAGUGUCCACUAACAUGAUGCCUGUUGCUUUUCCUCCUGCAUUUAGCCAGCAGUCCGGAUGCUGUGCAUGUUGUACUGGACAGGCACCUGGUGACAGGACAGAAUGAGAAUUCCACUCUUCCCGCAGUCCAGAAUCUUCUCAUCCUUUGCAAUGUCAGGUGAAUGUGUGUUAGAAGUCCUUUCCUGGCUGUGGACUAACAGGUCGUGUCAUGUUUGGAUAUGUUUCCUUCAGCAGGAAAUGAAGGAGCAGGUCUCUUUGCAUAGGAUGGAUGAAGAGCCAGCAGGUUAAGGAAUUCCUUGUCUGUGAACUGGAUAAAACAUCCCUAUAAAAUUGUCCUGGACUGUGGAGUGGCUGUGACAGUGAAGUAACAGUGUCAGGCUUUGCAUAGAUGGAAAGGAUGAAGGUUGUGACUGAGAACUCUGAAAUGCAUCACACUCCAGAAGCAAUGACGAAACCAUCUUGUAUUUUUGUUGCUGUAUCUUUUUGUUUCACUGCUCUCUAGACCAGACAAUUUUCAGAUGUGGGAAUGUCCUUUUAAAGGGAAGUUGGUGCUAUGACUUCAGAUUGCUGAAGCUGAAGACCUUAUACUAGGCUGAUGUUAUACUGAUGGUUAGUAACUGCCCUGAAGAGCACUUGGAACAAUGUGAACCAUGUGGUGGUUUUGUUUCAAAUAGCAAAAUCUACACCCAGAGCUUGACUGGAAUGCAAUUCCGGAUGCAGGGAAUGAAGGGAACCUUUCAUUUGGUUACUGUCUGAACUCUGAAUGUGAUGGGCACUUGGAUGUGCUUGGAAUAGGAUGGAAAAUGCUCAGCUGCUCUCUGAAUAAAGCUAAAGAGGUUGUUUGCAGCAGCUCACGCUAUGGUGAUGCUGUUUGCAUAAUGAGCCCUUGUUUCUUUUGCCUGUUUAUAUUGUUGGACUUGUGUUUAAAAAGCUUGCUCAGCUGUUUCUAAAUGGUCUUCUGAUGGC